UCUCAGGCCUAGGAAUGGCAUUCUAAAACAAACUGAGCUAGAGCUCCCAGGUUUGGGUUAUGUGUUGAUGAAUAGUUUGAGAGCACUGCCAGCAUGUGCCUUCUGAGAAAAGAAGGGCCAGUUUGUUUCUUCAGAUGAAACCCAGGGAUUAAGCCUUGGCCAUUAGCCAUGCGGAAGGUUAAGGAGCUGAGAUUUCCUCAGUCUGAAAGACUGCUUAUCCUUCUCUGCAUGUGGGAAGGGUGCAUAGAGACUGGUGAGCUGUGGAAAUAUCUUGCUCGAUUGGACUGUUUUAUAACCCCUGAAACAGGGUGGGCUUGCUAAAAGGAACAGCAAGAGGACUGCACCCCAUACCUUGCAACCAGACCACAGGACUGUCACUGCUCAGGGGAUGAUAAAUGAGGCGGGGGAAAACUCUUCUGGAGAGAAACUUUUGAAACACUGUUUAAAUAAAGAUGACUGAUGCUGCAGGAAACAUCAACAUCUGCUGGUAGAUGCAGUAUAGUGAAUUACAGAUCUACCCAUGCCAGAUCACUCUUCGAAGGCUGCUGCUGGACACUCCUCUAGCUGACUAGCUCCCUGGAACUAGCUACAGUUAGAGAGAAGCAUGCCAACUGGAAACUGCCAAAACCAACCACCUGUGUUCAGCACAGACCCAUCACCAGUACUGCACCUCUAUAAGCAACCAUUUGGAAUGAGCAUUUUGAUUUUGUUUCCACUACAGCACAAAUGUCAAAACAACACAUAGGACCCAUCAAAAUACUAGAAAGAUUUAAGUUUUGCUAUCCUUAGUGCUAAUUCUUGGUAUUUCUGGUCAUA